rnacentral:tRNA from 2 species
GGCCGGAUAGCUCAGUCGGUAGAGCAGAGGAUUGAAAAUCCUCGUGUCGGUGGUUCGAUUCCACCUCCGGCCACCA